rnacentral:rRNA from 1 species
CCUACGGGUGGCAGCAGUGGGGAAUAUUGGACAAUGGGGGAAACUCUGAUCCAGCGACGCCGCGUGAGUGAAGAAGUAUUUCGGUACGUAAAGCUCUAUCAGCAGGGAAGAAAAUGCCGGUACCUGACUAAGAAUCCACGGAUAACUACGUGCCAGCAGCCGCGGUAAUACGGAGGAGGCAAGCGUUAUCCGGAUUUAGUGGGUGUAAAGGGAGCGUAGACGGCAGGGCAAGUCUGUGGUGAAAUGCCGGGGCUCAACCCCGGAACUGCUCUGGAAACUGUGCGGCUGGAGUGCAGUAGAGGUAAGCGGAAUUCAUGGUGUAGCGGUGAAAUGCGUAGAGAUCAGGAGGAACACCGGUGGCGAAGGCAGCUUACUGGGCUAUAACUGACGUUGAGGCUCGAAAGCGUGGGGAGCAAACAGGAUUAGAUACCCCUGUAGUC